GAUGAACGCUGGCGGCGUGCCUAAUACAUGCAAGUCGAGCGAACAGACGAGGAGCUUGCUCCUCUGACGUUAGCGGCGGACGGGUGAGUAACACGUGGAUAACCUACCUAUAAGACUGGGAUAACUUCGGGAAACCGGAGCUAAUACCGGAUAAUAUAUUGAACCGCAUGGUUCAAUAGUGAAAGACGGUUUUGCUGUCACUUAUAGAUGGAUCCGCGCCGCAUUAGCUAGUUGGUAAGGUAACGGCUUACCAAGGCAACGAUGCGUAGCCGACCUGAGAGGGGGAUCGGCCACACGGGAACUGGAACACGGUCCAUGCUCCUACGGGAGGCAGCAGAAGGGAAUCUUCCGCAAUGGGCGAAAGCCUUACGGAGCAACGCCGCGCGAGUGAUGAAGGUCUUCGGAUCGUAAAACUCUGUUAUUAGGGAAGAACAAAUGUGUAAUUAACUAUGCACGUCUUGACGGUACCUAAUCAGAAAGCCACGGCUAACUACGUG
rnacentral:rRNA from 1 species